rnacentral:lncRNA from 10 species
GCGGGGGGUGGGGUGGGAAGAGUGUAGCAGUGAGGACGACGAGAGGUCACUCUCGUCGCCAUUUUGUUUUUGGUGGUUUUUGUCUGGCUUCUUUACCGCAACCUGUUUUAUCAGCAAAGUCUUUAUAACCUGUAUUUUGUGCUGACCUCCUAUCUCAUCCUGUGACUUAGAAUGCCUUAACAACUGUCUGGAAUGCAGCCCGCAGUAAAUCUUGCUGCUGCUCACUCUUUGGUCCAUGCUGCCUGAGCUGUAACACUCACCAGGAAGGUCUGCAGCUUCACUCCUGAAGCCAGCAAUACCAUGAACCCACUAGGAGGAAUGAACAACUCGAGAUGCGCCGUCUUUAAGAGCUGUAACACUCACCGUGAAGGUCUGCAGCUUCACUCCUGAAGUCAGCGAGACCAUGAACCCACCAGAAGGAAGAAACUCCAGACACAUCUGAACAUCUGAAGGAACAAACUCCGGACACACCAUCUCUAAGAACUGUAACACUCACUGCGAGGGUCCGCGGCUUCAUUCUUGAAGUCAGCGAGACCAAGAACCCACCAAUUCCAGACACACUUACAGAUGAUUGAAUUCAAUCUUUCAUUAAGGAACAACAGAUAAAGUUUAAAUGUACAUAUUUAUUAUACUAUGAAUAAUUUGUAUCUAAGAAUUUAUUCAGUGCCAUAUCUCUAGCCCAUCUUUAGGUGUAAUGCUUGUACAAAGAGGCCACUGAUUGAGUGGUUGUUGAAUUAAAUCGUUCAUGAAACA